CAGAGAUGCUGCCGGUCCCGCUGAGUUACUCCAGCAUUUUGUGUCCAUCUUCAAUUUUCUUGGCCCUGCUCUGGGGGUAGAAGUGAGGGCGGACCCGGACCACAACGGCCGUGAGCCCCAGGCCGAGUUCGGUGAUCGUUUGCCCGCUUCUGCGGCUGUUGCAGGUG